rnacentral:rRNA from 1 species
UACGUAGGGCGCAAGCGUUGUCCGGAAUUAUUGGGCGUAAAGAGCUCGUAGGCGGCUUGUCACGUCGGGUGUGAAAGCCCGGGGCUUAACCCCGGGUCUGCAUUCGAUACGGGCUAGCUAGAGUGUGGUAGGGGAGAUCGGAAUUCCUGGUGUAGCGGUGAAAUGCGCAGAUAUCAGGAGGAACACCGGUGGCGAAGGCGGUUCUCUGGGCCUUACCUGACGCUGAGGAGCGAAAGCGUGGGGGAGCGAACAGG